GAUGAACGCUAGCGACAGGCCUAACACAUGCAAGUCGAGGGGCAACGGGGCGUAGCAAUACGCUGCCGGCGACCGGCGGAUGGGUGAGUAACGCGUAUGCAACCUGCCUUCAGCAGGGGGAUAGCCCGUUGAAAGACGGAUUAAUACCCCAUAACACAGGGGCUCCGCAUGGAGAUUAUUGUUAAAGGGAUGCUUCCUUCGGGGGUAUUCCGGCUGAAGAUGGGCAUGCGUUCCAUUAGGUAGUUGGUUGAGGUAACGGCUCACCAAGCCUGCGAUGGAUAGGGGAACUGAGAGGUUGGUCCCCCACACUGGUACUGAGACACGGACCAGACUCCUACGGGAGGCAGCAGUGAGGAAUCUUGGUCAAUGGACGGAAGUCUGAACCAGCCAUGUCGCGUGAAGGAGGACGGCCCUAAGGGUUUAAACUUCUUUGCAGCGGAAUAAGUAUUCCACGUGAUGGGAUAUUGCAAGUACGCUGCGAAUAAGGAUCGGCUAACUCCG
rnacentral:rRNA from 1 species